AUGUUUUUAAUUAAAUUGGGUGCUUGAGAACUGUCAGAAUCGAGGUGGGCUGCAAUCUCUCCCGUCCUUGUGGCUGAUUUGCUUGGCUCCAUCCACUGUUAUUCUGGCACUUUCUACCGCCCUUUGGCCACUUGAUUCGAAGAGCCAACUCAUUGGAAAAGACCCUGAUGCUGGGAAAGACUGAAGGCAGGAGGAGAAGGGGACGACAGAGGAUGAGAUGGUUGGAUGGCAUCACCUACUUGAUGGGCAUGCAUUUGAGCAAGCUCCGGGAGUUGGUGAAGGACAGGGAGGCCUGGCGUGCUGCGGUCCAUGGAUCACAAAGAGCUGGACAAGUUGUAUCUGAACAACACAAUGAACUGAACAACAACCUCAUCACCGCCAUUUCAAGUUUCUCCCGCCCUCCGGGGCUCCUUACUAAAACCAACGUCCUCAUUAAGCUUUUUGGGUCCUUCAGCGAGAGGUGGUGGCUCUUCCUCCAUGACCCCCAGUGGUGUUUUGCUUGUAUUUCUUACACCAUAAGAAAUUUCUUACACCAUUUCUUACACUCUAAGAAGAAGAGUUGUUUGGGCGCUUCUGUUGUGUCCUCUGACAGUACGUUUUGUGAAGACUUUAUUUUACUAUAUUCUUAACAACUCUCACAUCACCCGGCAGGCUGGAGUAACUGGUCUUGAAUCUGAUCGAGAACCUUGAGCACAGGAGAUGCCUAUCAUCUAGUUGGCCUAGAGGCAGGCCUGUGGCAAAGCUGGGGCCAAGAAGUGAUUCUCAACAGAGAGAACUAAAAAUGAAGCUGGAUAUGCAGUGAGUCUCCAGAGACUAUGUCUUAAGAAGUCACCGAAGCCUUGAUCUUUCUCUACAUGAAAAUUAAAUCCUCUUCGGAAAAUAUCAUAAAGUCAAAAGUCAGCCUAAAUAUGGAAGAAACUAUUUGCAAGGCAAAUUUUCUUAAUUUACAAAGAGUUCAUUAGGUCAUUAAUAUAAUCCCAUAAAAGAAAGGUAAAUGAGACAGGAAAUUCACAGAGAAGAAUACAAAUCAAUGAAAGAUGUAAGAAAAUAUAUCCACAUUAUUCCUAUUUAAAGAAAUACAAACAAGAAACGGAAAAAGAAGAUGAAAAGCUUUAUGAAGAUAAUGAAAGGAAGCAUCUCUCAAGAACCUCAGCAAGAAUAAGAAAGUGGUUCCGUUUCCUGAAAAGGAACCAAAUGACAUUCUAGAGGAAAAACACACACCUGUACUACUAGACACCCCAGCUGAGAAAGAAGACCAGAGAGACCCACCAACAGGACAGCAGUCACAAGAGUCAUCACCAAGACAGCCAGACGUGAAACCGGAAAAGCAGGAAUCAGU
ensembl:lncRNA